rnacentral:tRNA from 1 species
GUUGUGGCUCAGUGGUAGAGUACUUGCCUAGCAUGUGUGAGGUACUGGGUUCGAUCCUCAGUACUACA